rnacentral:rRNA from 1 species
CCGUGAAAAAAUUAGAGUGUUCUAAGCAGGCAGAUCCAAUUUCCUGCCACCGAAUACAUUAGCAUGGGAUAAUGGAGUAGGACCCUGUCCUCCUGUAAUCAGUUGGUUUGCCGCGAGGACCAGGGUAAUGAUUAAUAGGGAUAGUUGGCAUUAAUAGGUAAUUGUCAGAGGUGAAAUUCUUGGAGUUAUGAAAGAUUAACUUCUGCGAAAGCAUCUGCCAAGGAUGUUUUCAUUAAUCAAGAACGAAAGUUAGGGGAUCGAAGACGAUCAGAUACCGUCGUAGUCUUAACCAUAAACGUGCCGACCAGCGAUUAAGAGACGUUGAAUACAAAACACCACCAUGCGCAUUGCGGUCGUCUUUGGUGUCGCUCACAAGGCGGCACCGGCGCGGCUUAGCUCGCAUGGCACCGGUGAAUGACUCCCUAGCAGUUAAG